rnacentral:rRNA from 1 species
AUUGAACGCUGGCGGCAGGCCUAACACAUGCAAGUCGAACGAGUGGCGGACGGGUGAGUAAUGUCUGGGAAACUGCCUGAUGGAGGGGGAUAACUACUGGAAACGGUAGCUAAUACCGCAUACCAUCGGAUGUGCCCAGAUGGGAUUAGCUAGUAGGUGGGGUAACGGCUCACCAAGGCGACGAUCCCUACCUGGUCUGAGAGGAUGACAAGCCACACGGGAACUGAGACACGGUCCAGACUCCUACGGGAGGCAGCAGUGGGGAAUAUUGCACAAUGGGCGAAAGCCUGAUGCAGCCAUGCCGAGUGUGUGAAGAAGGUCUUCGGAUUGUAAAGCACUUUAAGCGGGGAGGCGUUACCAACAGAAGAAGCACCGGCUAACUCCGUGCCAGCAGCCGCGGUAAUUC